GACGAGAUUCAAUUCUACUUCUGGGGAACAGCCUAUCAUCAAUGGCCAAAGCCUUAUCAGUGCCACAGUCAUUCUUCCGAGUGGUGUUCAUAGUCUACCAAAUAAAGGAGGACCUUCAUCACUAAUCCAACGAUGGAGAUCGGGUGGAUCAUGUGAUUGUGGAGGUUGGGAUUUGGGUUGCAAACUCAGAAUUUUUGCCAACCAGAGUCAGCUUAGUAAGAAUACACGUCCAUCUAAAGCUUGCACUAUAAUUGAUAAAUUUGAGUUCAUCUCUCAGGGAGGAGAAGAAGAGAACCAACCUGUCUUCAGUUUGGCUCCUUUCAAGGAUGGGAUCUAUUCAGUGGAGUUCAAUUCAUCACUUUCAAUUAUACAAGCGUUCUCACUGUGUAUAGCAGUUAUAGACAGUAAAAAACUGUGUGAGAUCCCAGGAUCGUGCAACUUGUUUGAAGGAAAAACUUCUUUGGAAACCAUAUUGGCCCGAAAUGAUGGAAUAAGGGGCAGCACAAAUCGAGUUGAUACGGACGUGCCUGCAAAAUUUGUCUCAUACCCACCCCAUUCUCCAGUUGGAAGGGUCUAGUUUCAUGAGGAAUGGUCUUGCAAUUACACAGGUGGUACGGAUCGGUAAAUAGCCAGUUUGACUUAGUAGACACUGUUUGAAUCCUGCAAUCCAGUGCCUCUCAUUGAUAUGGGAAAAUAAAAUAGAAUCUGCGAGGUGAUGGGGAAAGAAACCUUGAAGCAUGAGAGAACUGUAUUUUGUAUUAGUUUUUGAGUUCUUUUUGACAAUAGAAGCAGUAUUAACGGUACUUAGAGAACACUAUCUUCAUCAAUGUAAGUGUGCAUAUCAUAGUGCUUGUAGUUUGGAAU
rnacentral:misc_RNA from 1 species